GUCAAUAGAAUCUACUCUAGCAUUGAAGAUAAUGGAGUCUGGCGGCAACUUAGCGGCGAGUUGAUUUGGAAUGGCGCCGAUUCCCUUGGCAGGAAGGGUAUUGUCGCCGAGAGCUAGACACUUGAAGAUGAAAUCGAACAAUCUAGAGGUAGUUUGAAGAUCUUUAUCAAAGAAUAUCCCGCCAAAGAAUGGCCUGAAAAACCGGUUAAUCAUGGAAUCCGAAAACCCAAUGUUCCUGAGCAGAUCAAUGGUGGUAACCUCAUUAGCAGAAAGAAUUUCUUUAUCAGAUUUUGUCAAAACAUUAAUCCUGGUUGAUGCAAUGAGUAAUUUAUCAGUAAUAGAUCCAAUUGGAUUAGUUAAGGAUUUUACAGAGUCCCAAAAGUGGCGCAAAGGAUCAGCCACGGUGUGGAACUGACCAUCCACGUAAAUCCUAGCACCGGAGUAAAAUUUCUGCAACUCUAAUGCUUGAAAAUUGAGAACUUUUCGAGCUUCCGGAUAGGCUGUGAUGCCAAAUAAAUAUUAGUAUAAUUAAACUCGAGUUAAUGCUGUGUCCGCCAGUAAAGCCUCCACUGCUUUUCUUCCAGAGACCAAAGCACCAUCAAAAGUAGCAGAAGUCAUAUAAUCACCGCACAAAUAUAAACCUGACGCCACCUGAGAUUUUUUCAUCAAAUCAGUUGGUGGGCAUUGGUUUGGCUGUGCAAAUUCAAUCCUGUAUGUUCUCAAAUAUUUCCAUGAUUCCACCAUUGAACUUCCAAACCAACCGGAAAGCUCCCUGACAACCUUAGCCGUCAGAUCAUCAUCAGAAAUAUCCUCGAACAAUCCUAUCAACGACACUGAUACUAAUACCUUCCCAGGCGGGCCAUACGAUGGAGCCACGUUGGUUGCAAAAAACAUGUUGUUUACGAUUCCUUUCCCUGAACCAUUGAGAAACAGGACUGGAUCCUCUACCGGAAUGCUGUUCCGGUCAGCUGAGAAAUAUAUACAAACGGUACUGCGAGGCGGUUUUCUCUUAACUGGUAAUUUGAUGUUCCGUCCCGCUAAAAGCCUAUCCACUUCUGGUUCUUCAACGGCCAAAAUUACUCCAAUCUCACUUUGUAAAAUUUCUCCAUCUUUCAAUCUCACACUGGGUUUCGUGUUUGGUUCGUGGAAGUCAAUAGAAUCUACUCUAGCAUUGAAGAUAAUGGAGUCUGGCGGCAACUUAGCGGCGAGUUGAUUUGGAAUGGCGCCGAUUCCCUUGGCAGGAAGGGUAUUGUCGCCGAGAGCUAGACACUUGAAGAUGAAAUCGAACAAUCUAGAGGUAGUUUGAAGAUCUUUAUCAAAGAAUAUCCCGCCAAAGAAUGGCCUGAAAAACCGGUUAAUCAUGGAAUCCGAAAACCCAAUGUUCCUGAGCAGAUCAAUGGUGGUAACCUCAUUAGCAGAAAGAAUUUCUUUAUCAGAUUUU
rnacentral:lncRNA from 1 species